rnacentral:rRNA from 1 species
ACUCCUACGGGAGGCAGCAGUGGGAAUAUUGCACAAUGGGCGAAAGCCUGAUGCAGCGACGCCGCGUGGGGAUGAAGGCCUUCGGGUUGUAAACCCCUUUAGCAGGGAAGAAGCGAAAGUGACGGUACCUGCAGAAAAGCGACCGGCUAACUACGUGCCAGCAGCCGCGGUAAUACGUAGGCGCAAGCGUUGUCCGGAAUUAUUGGGCGUAAAGAGCUCGUAGGCGGUUUGUCGCGUCUGCUGUGAAAUCCCGAGGCUCAACCUCGGGCCUGCAGUGGGUACGGGCAAACUAGAGUGUGGUAGGGGAGACUGGAAUUCCUGGUGUAGCGGUGGAAUGCGCAGAUAUCAGGAGGAACACCAAUGGCGAAGGCAGGUCUCUGGGCCACUACUGACGCUGAGGAGCGAAAGCGUGGGGAGCGAACAGGAUUAGAUACCCUGGUAGGCUCUGC